rnacentral:lncRNA from 1 species
UAAUUGCACAGAUGAAGUUUAAUUUGCGAGAUGAAUCUAUUAAGCCUAAUUAGUCCAUAAUUUAACAAUAUGGUGCUACAGUAACCAUUUGCUAAUGACAAAUUAAUUACACUUAAUAGAUUCAUCUCGCGAAUUAGCACAGGGUUCUGCAAUUAGUUUUAUAAUUAGCUCAUGUUUAGUCCUCUAAUUAGCAUCCAAAGCAUCCGAACAUCCGAUAUGAUACUGUUAAAGUAUAGCACCUCGUAUCCAAACAACACAUUGGAGGUCAACGUGACUCACCGGGUACUGGUAUGAAUUAAAGGUCAUCGGUGCAAGCCCAACAUAU